CAUACAAUAAUAAUUAACGUGAAGUCGUAUCUUCUGUAUAUUUCGUUUAGCUAUACAAAUUGUAAUUAUCGCGCUGUAUUAGGUGAUGCUGUGGUUGAUGGUGGUAUUGGUGUUGGCACGAUACGAAGAUAUACGAAGAUCGGACAGAUUCGUUCGCAAAAGGAAUAAUUAAAGUGCAUUAAGUGCAACAAUUGGAACAGUCAUUGUUGCACAAAAAAGCAAGUAGGGGAAGGAUAGAGAGAAGGAUGAAAGAUCGCUAUGAGGUAGAGAAAAAGAGAGAGAAGAAGAGAGAGAGAGAGAGAGAGAGAGAGAGAGAGAGAGAGAGAGAUAGAAAUUGACAAGAAGAGAACAUUCAAAGAAAUAGCAGGACAAGUUUUAAUUUAGUACGAUCGCCGAUAAAUCCAAGCUGACGGCCUUCCAAGCUUGAAAUGGAUGGUUGAGAAAGAAAAGGGUAAAUAAGAGGGGCUCUAGGGAAAAGGAGGAGGAGUAGGAGGAGAAAGAGGAGGAGCGAAGAAAAUCGACAGAUCCUUCGGUGUUUCCCGUGGGACGACUAGCCGUAUAGUAACACGUAAAUGAAUCCUUCACGGUAGAAAAAUCAUGGACCUUCGAAGAUUCGGCUUCUUGAAAGAAACUUUUUCAAGCGGAAAGUAAUAAGAUGGAGUUUUGCUAUCGGGUUAAUAAGAGGGUAAAAUAGUUAAUUAAAGUGAAUAUAUUGAAAAUUAUUGCAUGUAAAUAUUGU